rnacentral:rRNA from 1 species
GUCUAUGGCCAUAGCACCCUGAACACACUUGAUCUUGUCUGAUCUUGGAAGCUAAGCAGGGUUGGGCCUGGUUAGUACUUGGAUGCGAGGUAGUGGACUGUAUUUU